GAUGAACGCUAGCGGGAGGCCUAACACAUGCAAGCCGAGCGGUAUUGUUUCUUCGGAAAUGAGAGAGCGGCGUACGGGUGCGUAACACGUGUGCAACCUGCCUUUAUCUGGGGGAUAGCCUUUCGAAAGGAAGAUUAAUACUCCAUAAUAUAUUGAACGGCAUCGUUUAAUAUUGAAAGCUCCGGCGGAUAGAGAUGGGCACGCGCAAGAUUAGCUAGUUGGUGAGGUAACGGCUCACCAAGGCGAUGAUCUUUAGGGGGCCUGAGAGGGUGAUCCCCCACACUGGUACUGAGACACGGACCGGACUCCUACGGGAGGCAGCCGUGAGGAAUAUUGGUCAAUGGGUGCAAGCCUGAACCAGCCAUCCCGCGUGAAGGACGACUGCCCUAUGGGUUGUAAACUUCUUUUGUAUAGGGAUAAACCUACCCUCGUGAGGGUAGCUGAAGGUACUAUACGAAUAAGCACCGGCUAACUCCGUGCCAGCAGCCGCCGUAA
rnacentral:rRNA from 1 species